CCUACGGGGUGCAGCAGUGAGGAAUAUUGGUCAAUGGGCGGGAGCCUGAACCAGCCAAGUCGCGUGAGGGAAGACGGUCCUAUGGAUUGUAAACCUCUUUAGGCGGGGAAGAAGGAGGACGGUACCUGACUAAGAAGCCCCGGCUAACUACGUGCCAGCAGCCGCGGUAAUACGUAGGGGGCAAGCGUUAUCCGGAUUUCCUGGGUGUAAAGGGGGCGCAGACGGCAGCGCAAGCCAGGAGUGAAAGCCCGGGGCCCAACCCCGGGACUGCUCUUGGAACUGCGCGGCUGGAGUGCAGGAGGGGCAAGCGGAAUUCCUGGUGUAGCGGUGAAAUGCGUAGAUAUCAGGAGGAACACCGGUGGCGAAGGCGGCCUGCUGGACUGCGACUGACGUUGAGGCCCGAAAGCGUGGGGAGCAAACAGGAUUAGAUACCCGAGUAGUC
rnacentral:rRNA from 1 species